CAGCCGCCGCGGUAAUACGUAGGUCCCGAGCGUUGUCCGGAUUUAUUGGGCGUAAAGCGAGCGCAGGCGGUUAGAUAAGUCUGAAGUUAAAGGCUGUGGCUUAACCAUAGUAGGCUUUGGAAACUGUUUAACUUGAGUGCAAGAGGGGAGAGUGGAAUUCCAUGUGUAGCGGCGAAAUGCGUAGAUAUAUGGAGGAACACCGGUGGCGAAAGCGGCUCUCUGGCUUGUAACUGACGCUGAGGCUCGAAAGCGUGGGGAGCAAACAGGAUUAGAUACCCUGGUAGUCCACGCUGUAAACGAUGAGUGCUAGGUGUUAGACCCUUUCCGGGGUUUAGUGCCGGAGCUAACGCAUUAAGCACUCCGCCUGGGGAGUACGACCGCAAGGUUGAAACUUAAAGGAAUUGGCGGG
rnacentral:rRNA from 1 species